CGCAAGAUUCGAUGUGAUGGAGAAUCUUGUAAAGUUUUGGGUUUUUGGAUGUAUCUAAACAAGGCCUAAAUCAUAUACACUAGUCUUCCUUGUUUUCUGUGUAUUCGUGUAGACCAAUCCUUUCGAUAAGCAUCACUGUCUUAUGGUAAUUCUGUUUCAUGCCAUCAAUUUUAGGCACUUGCAGGUUUUGUGUGUCCAUUUUAAAUAUCUGGUGACCAAAAUUUUGACUUACAUCGUAACAUAGAUUUUGAUGUUACAAGCAUCAUAUCAUAUUCAAAAUUUGUUGUAAACCAUUGUGGCAUUACUAUAUUUUUUACUUAUAUAUUGUAACUUAGAUACUGUUAUGGUACAAAAUUAUUGUAAAUAACAUAUCAAUCUUCUAGUAACCAAUUCUGUGUUAUGGUAACUGUGUCAACCAAUUGACGAUCCUGCAUGUACAUGGCUCAACUAUCAAUUUUUCUUGCUCCUGCAGUUUGAAACAAGCUUGCUUUCUUAUUUUGCCAGUGAGACCCCCAUUCUCAGUGAUGUUUUCUACUUUUCACCAUUGCAGAUUGAAAUCAAUUUGAUCUAGAAAACCAGAACUGAACUAAUGGAAUUAAUUCCGGUGGUUACUUAGGCCAAGAUGCACGAGAAGGGGCCCAAGUUUGGGUUAGAGCUGCACUUCUACAUGCUUUUGCAUCCACUGAACACUGACUAAGCAGCUUCGAGCUGGACCCGAGGCUCAUAUGGCAUGAUCUUGAUCGUCCUUGAAUCGUUCAAAAUGAGUGGAGACCUAGUAUCAUUCUGAUGGAAAAAUAGAUCGAUGUACUGUUUCUAUUUUUUACAAGUUUUUUUUUUGAGAAAUAUUUAAUCACUUUCAUGCCAAUUUUUAUGUAACACCACAGCCUAAUUAUCAUUUCCAAUAUUCUGAAAUGUUGUAAGUGGUUUCUUUCUCAUUUGUUAAGAAAUGUAAGUGUUUUCUGAUAGCGACUUGAUAGGAAGUUGUGGCAAUUCUCCAACAAAAAUAUCAUAAAUAAUGUAUUUCUGGUUUAUUGUAA